CUUAGUGGCGGACGGGUGAGUAACGCGUGGGUAACCUGCCUUAUACAGGGGGAUAACAACCAGAAAUGGUUGCUAAUACCGCAUAAGCGCACAGGACCGCAUGGUCCGGUGUGAAAAACUCCGGUGGUAUAAGAUGGACCCGCGUUGGAUUAGCUAGUUGGCAGGGUAACGGCCUACCAAGGCGACGAUCCAUAGCCGGCCUGAGAGGGUGAACGGCCACAUUGGGACUGAGACACGGCCCAG
rnacentral:rRNA from 1 species